rnacentral:rRNA from 1 species
AUAUCAAUAAGCGGAGGAAAAGAAACCAACAGGGAUUGCCUUAGUAACGGCGAGUGAAGCGGCAAAAGCUCAAAUUUGAAAUCUGGCACCUUCGGUGUCCGAGUUGUAAUUUGAAGAAGGUAACUUUGGAGUCAGCUCUUGUCUAUGUUCCUUGGAACAGGACGUCACAGAGGGUGAGAAUCCCGUGCGAUGAGAUGUCUGAUUCUAUGUAAAGUGCUUUCGAAGAGUCGAGUUGUUUGGGAAUGCAGCUCUAAGUGGGUGGUAAAUUCCAUCUAAAGCUAAAUAUUGGCGAGAGACCGAUAGCGAACAAGUACAGUGAUGGAAAGAUGAAAAGAACUUUGAAAAGAGAGUGAAAAAGUACGUGAAAUUGUUGAAAGGGAAGGGUUUGAGAUCAGACUUGGUAUUUUGUAUGUCUUGCUUUCGGGUGGGGCCUCUACAGUUUACUGGGCCAGCAUCGGUUUGGACGGUAGGAUAAUGACAUUGGAAUGUGGCACCACUUCGGUGGUGUGUUAUAGACUUUGUUGAUACUGCCUGUCUAGACCGAGGACUGCGUCUUUGACUAGGAU